GAUCUUGGCCAUCAACGAUGAGGAUGUGAGUGAAGCCCCCAGAGAGAGAUUCAUCGAGCUUGUCAGGAAAGCCAAGGACUUCAUCAUCCUCACGGUCCUGCACACCCACCAGUCUCCCAAAUCUGCUUUCAUCAGUGCAGCCAAGAAGGCGAAGCUGAGGUCCAACCCUGCCAAAGUCCGAUUUUCAGAGCAGGUGACGGUCGGCGAGAC